AGAAAAAAAAAAGAAAAGAAAAAAGCGGCAGUUAAGUGGCAUGGUUGAUUGAUUGUUGCUGAAGGGGAUUGGCUAAUGUUCUGUCCCAGCUAGUAUUAACAUUCUACGAGCAGAAACUGCUAAAGAUGAAGGAAGGAUAAUGGUCUGAGAACUAGAAGUAAUAGGUUAUUGGCUUCUUAAAUAAUUGCUCGACUUGGAACGAGUUUUUUCCUGCUGUCAUCAACACAAACCCACCCCCCCCCCCCCCGGCUUCCUUCUCUGAGAUUAUUAUGUGAAGAUAGUAAGAGAAACGAGAGGGUGUGCGUGUGUACCUCCAAUUCUUUGAUGUAAAUAUUCUUGAACAUAUUGAAGCAGGUUCAUGCUUCAUUUUGUUGCUGUAAAUAAGAUGUAUAUAAUGUAAAUUGUGUAUUAUGAUAAGAGAAGUGGUAGAUAAGAUAACUAUACACAUCAGGCUAAGGUUUGUUUCUUGUGUUGCUUAAAUGUAUUUAUAAAGCAAUAUAGAACAAUAAACAAGCAAAAAGUGUUUGUUCAGGUAAUGAAACAAAGAUUGUUUUCUUUUUCAUUGAUAUAGAAGGAAGCCUUGGUAGGGUGCUUAACAAAUGUCUACACCGACACAAACAGAUUUUAAACAAUUCUUCACCCAGCUUGUUUGGAGCCAUUUCCCCGGCAUGGUAACCUUUUCAAAACCUCCAAUUUGUUCUGCAUAUGUGCGAGUUAUUAGAGCUCUCAAAUUCCGGUUAGGUGAUGGGCUUGGACCUUCGCAUUGGUUCCAGCGAAGUGCCCUUGAUGAGGGUCAGGUCCCCCCUCUCUCCGUCACCUAUGUUCUAUUCAAGUAUUUUAGUUACUAAUAAGUAAAGGGUUGGCAACACAUAUAAUUGGGUAAU
rnacentral:misc_RNA from 1 species